rnacentral:rRNA from 1 species
GUACACUCCUGCGGGAGGCAGCAGUGGGGAAUCUUGCGCAAUGGGCGAAAGCCUGACGCAGCCAUGCCGCGUGAAUGAUGAAGGUCUUAGGAUUGUAAAAUUCUUUCACCGGGGACGAUAAUGACGGUACCCGGAGAAGAAGCCCCGGCUAACUUCGUGCCAGCAGCCGCGGUAAUACGAAGGGGGCUAGCGUUGCUCGGAAUUACUGGGCGUAAAGGGAGCGUAGGCGGACAUUUAAGUCAGGGGUGAAAUCCCGGGGCUCAACCUCGGAAUUGCCUUUGAUACUGGGUGUCUUGAGUAUGAGAGAGGUGUGUGGAACUCCGAGUGUAGAGGUGAAAUUCGUAGAUAUUCGGAAGAACACCAGUGGCGAAGGCGACACACUGGCUCAUUACUGACGCUGAGGCUCGAAAGCGUGGGGAGCAAACAGGAUUAGAAACCCGGGUAGUCCCAUG